GAGAGAAACAAGACAGAGAGAAUUCAUAGAAUGGCUUUAGGGCCUUUCCUCCAGGCGGAGGGAGGACGGCAGCUGUGGGUAAAGCCCGAAGGAGGAAUGCCUGAAGGUAAGGGGAAGCCCGGGGCAGACCCGCUGCCCGCUCCGGACCCCACUCUCCACCUUCCGGUAACCGCGUCUCUUACCGGUAAUGGUGGUGAACUGUUGAAUUAACCCCUUCAGCGCCGAGGACGCCGCGGAGCCCCCGUGGGCAGCCAUCUUACCGCCGCCGCCGCCGCCGAACAACAACACAGACACACACGGACUGCCCUCCCCCACUUCGCCGUGCGGUGUGCGCAGGCGCAUUGACCGCCCCUCGAGCCCCGCCCCUCCCGUCCCCAGCGGUCUGCGCAGGCGCAUUUUCCGACCGGGCCCGCGCGCUCCCAGCUCUCGGGUUGGCUGCUCGGUUGCUGCCUGCUCAGUGCAUCCUUUUUGCCAUUGCUGGUGCCUUCCUCUCCGGGCUCCAAGGCUAGCCUCGCAGGCGCGGUGUCGAUUCCUAGAUUCCGAAGGAAGCUUCGGUCUCGGCAGAUAGUUCUUCGCAUUUCAGCUUCGCAAGCUUUAUUGACAGAGCCAACUGCCGAUGACAGCAUUUUUCUGUUUUGCGGUUGUACCGCACUCUAUUAGGUUUCCUGCAGGUCCCAUCAAAAUGCAAACCCUACCUCCUCGCUUUGAAGCGACUCUCCCCGUACUCGCCCCCCAGCCUCUAAACUAAUGGCUUAGCUAACCGAUUGCGACGAGUGAAAUACCAGAACCCUUCAUGCCAAAGAAAGCACUUAGCGCGGGGUUGCCACCCAGUAGGUUUUCAUAAACGAUUGUUUAGUCUGCUUUCCUUAAAUAAAUUGGCCAUCACGUCU